rnacentral:tRNA from 1 species
GCAGAGAUGGCGGAGUGGUCAAACGCGGCGGACUGUAAAUCCGCUCCCUUCGGGGUACAUUGGUUCAAAUCCAAUUCUCUGCA